rnacentral:lncRNA from 1 species
GAGCAAGUACCAUUUUAUGAAUAAAGCACCAUUGAAGUCAUUGGUAUUCCUUGAAGACAAAAAAGUGUCAGUAAAACCCAGUCAGAAUUACCGUCUUCUGAACUCCAUGCGAGAAAACUUCAUUACUCCCAGAUACUGUUGGAUCUUCCACCAGAUUUACUCUGUGGCCCUCUGAGACUCCAUGUAACAGCAACUGCAUUUUAAUGCAAUGGCAGCUAUGGAAAACACAAAACUAUCAGUCAUUGUCAAAUACUCCAUAAAUGGAGACAGAGAAGGGGUUCAGCUCUCUGUGUAACAAGGACAGAGGAGAAAGGCAUCUGCAGUGUCAAAUCUACAGAGACAAGUGCACCUGGAGACAAAUGACCAGACUACCAUAAAACAGAAGCUUAAUUAUGUUCACUUACAUUUUCAAAUUAUUCCCAACAAAUUACCCUGUUUUGCCAGGUAGAAGAAGCAGAG